ACUGUGAUGGCCUAGUGGUUAAGAUGUUGGACUUGACAUCCAAUGGCUUAUACCUGCGCAAGUUCAAAUCUUGCACACAACA
rnacentral:tRNA from 1 species